rnacentral:rRNA from 1 species
GUGAGGAAUUUUCGCAAUGGGCGAAAGCCUGACGGAGCAAUGCCGCGUGAAGGAUGAAGGCCUAUGGGUUGUAAACUUCUUUUCUCAGAAAAGAAUUAUGACGGUAUCUGAGGAAUAAGCAUCGGCUAACUCUGUGCCAGCAGCCGCGGUAAGACAGAGGAUGCAAGCGUUAUCCGGAAUGAUUGGGCGUAAAGCGUCUGUAGGUUGUUUAAAAAGUAUUCUGUCAAAGAUUAGGGCUUAACCCUAGAUAGGCAGAAUAAACUUUUAAGCUAGAGUUUGGUAGAGGCAGAGGGAAUUCCCGGUGGAGCGGUGAAAUGCGUAGAUAUCGGGAGGAACACCAAAGGCGAAGGCACUCUGCUGGGCCAAUACUAACACUGAGAGACGAAAGCGAGGGGAGCAAAUGGGAUUAGAUACCCGGGUAGUCC